UUUAUUUAAUGGCCGCAGUAUUUUGACUGUGCAAAGGUAGCAUAAUCAUUAGUCUAUUAAUUGUGGACUUGUAUGAAUGGUUUGACGAGAUAUUGACUGUCUCAUAUAUAUAAUUAUAAUUUAAAUUUUAAGUUAAAAUGCUCAGAUUUUUUUAUGGGACGAGAAGACCCUAUAGAUCUUUAAUUUAUUAGGCUUUAUUUUAUUUGGUUUAUUUAUUUUGUAAUUCUUAUUAUAUUUUUGUUGGGGUGACAUAAGGCUAAAUUUAACUCCUUUUUAUUAUUUACAUUACUAAAUGGUUAUUUGAACUUUGUUAUUGUUUAUAAGAUAUAGAUACCUUAGGGAUAACAGCGUAAUAUUUUUUGAGAGUUCAUAUCGACAUGAAAGAUUGCGACCUCGAUGUUGGAUUAAGGUAAUUUUUGGGUGUAGGUGCUUAAUAAAUAGGUCUGUUCGACCUUUAAAAUCUUACAUGAUCUGAGUU
rnacentral:rRNA from 1 species